UACGUAGGGUGCAAGCGUUAAUCGGAAUUACUGGGCGUAAAGCGUGCGCAGGCGGCUUUGCAAGACAGAUGUGAAAUCCCCAAGCUUAACUUGGGAACUGCAUCCGAUACUGGAUGGCUUGAAUCCGGGAGAGGGAUGCAGAAUUCCAGGUGUAGCGGUGAAAUGCGUAGAUAUCUGGAGGAAUACCGGUGGCGAAGGCGGCAUCCUGGACCGGCAUUGACGCUGAGGAGCGAAAGCUA
rnacentral:rRNA from 1 species